rnacentral:lncRNA from 1 species
AUAUUAUUACCCACAAGGGUAAAGGAACAGUACCACUGCUGGAUAAUUGGAAAGUCCCUGUGUGUCAACCUCUGUGCCUCGUGGCAAGGUAGACUAGCAAACAUGCCCAACCUUUACUCACAUUCGAGAAAACACUCCCAAUAAGAUUGCUUGCUCCAAAAUCGAAGAGGCACCGUCCUCCGAAUCUCGAGAGCCAGACUCCCAACAUGACUACUUUCUCAAAAAUCGAAGAGAGGGUAAAGGAACAGUACCAUUGCUGGAUAAUUGGAAAGUCCCUGUGUGUCAACCUCUGUGCUUCGUGGCAAGGUAGACUAGCAAACAUGCCCAACCUUUACUCACAUUCGAGAAAACACUUCCAACAAGAUUACUUGCUCCAAAAUCGAAGAGGCACCGCCCUCCGAAUCUCGAGAGCCAGACUCCCAACAUGAUUACUUUCUCAAAAAUCGAAGAGACACUGCUCCCCGAAUCUCGAGAGCCAGACCCCCAACAUGAUUGCUUUCUCAAAAAUCGAAGAGGCAUCGUUCUCCGAAUCAAUCGAAGAGGCGCUCGCUUUCUCAAAA